UACGUAGGGGGCUAGCGUUAUCCGGAAUUACUGGGCGCAAAGGGUGCGUAGGUGGUUUCUUAAGUCAGAGGUGAAAGGCUACGGCUCAACCGUAGUAAGCCUUUGAAACUGGGGAACUUGAGUGCAGGAGAGGAGAGUGGAAUUCCUAGUGUAGCGGUGAAAUGCGUAGAUAUUAGGAGGAACACCAGUUGCGAAGGCGGCUCUCUGGACUGUAACUAACACGGAGGCACGAAAGCGUGGGGAGCAAACAGG
rnacentral:rRNA from 1 species